CACUUUGCUAUAAGCCUCUACAUUUUAACCACCACUUGAGUUUUAAUAUAAAUGGACAGUAUAUUCAGAUGGAUCAUGCUGAAAAUAUCUAAGUCUGAGACGCCGUCGUUUUCAGUGAGAGUCUGUUGUUACUUUUAUGAGAGGAGCAAUAGUUUAACCAGACACUAGACACUUAGACAGUAUUAGGCUAACACAGUGUUAAAGGGCAGUUCUCUAUUUUACAAAACUGAAUAUUUAAAAAUAGGUAAAUAAAAAUUUUGUUUUUUAUUGUCAAAGCAAAAUAGUUUUUUUACUGGUCAACGGAAGAUUUUAUAUUUGAGAUUUUAUAUAGUUUGC